rnacentral:rRNA from 1 species
GACGAACGCUGGCGGCGUGCUUAACACAUGCAAGUCGAACGGAAAGGCCCUGCUUUUGUGGGGUGCUCGAGUGGCGAACGGGUGAGUAACACGUGAGUAACCUGCCCUUGACUUUGGGAUAACUUCAGGAAACUGGGGCUAAUACCGGAUAGGAGCUCCUGCUGCAUGGUGGGGGUUGGAAAGUUUCGGCGGUUGGGGAUGGACUCGCGGCUUAUCAGCUUGUUGGUGGGGUAGUGGCUUACCAAGGCUUUGACGGGUAGCCGGCCUGAGAGGGUGACCGGCCACAUUGGGACUGAGAUACGGCCCAGACUCGUACGGGAGGCAGCAGUGGGGAAUAUUGCACAAUGGGCCGAAGCCUGAUGCAGCAACGCCGCGUGCGGGAUGACGGCCUUCGGGUUGUAAACCGCUUUCGCCUGUGACGAAGCGUGAGUGACGGUAAUGGGUAAAGAAGCACCGGCUAACUACGUG